UAACGGCGAGUGAAGCGGCAACAGCUCAAAUUUGAAAUCUUGGCCUCGUGCCCGAGUUGUAAUUUGUAGAGGAUGCUUUUGGCGACGCGCCUUCCGAGUUCCCUGGAACGGGACGCCAUAGAGGGUGAGAGCCCCGUCCGGUCGUGCGCCUAGCCUCUGUAAAGCUCCUUCGACGAGUCGAGUAGUUUGGGAAUGCUGCUCUAAAUGGGAGGUAUACGUCUUCUAAAGCUAAAUACCGGCCAGAGACCGAUAGCGCACAAGUAGAGUGAUCGAAAGAUGAAAAGCACUUUGAAAAGAGGGUUAAAUAGUACGUGAAAUUGCUGAAAGGGAAGCGCUUAUGACCAGACUUGGGCGCGGCGGAUCAUCCGGCGUUCUCGCCGGUGCACUCCACCGCCCCAGGCCAGCAUCAGUUCGCGCCGGGGGACAAAGGCUUCGGGAAUGUGGCUCCCUCGGGAGUGUUAUAGCCCGUUGCGUAAUACCUGGCGCGGACUGAGGUCCGCGCUCUGCAAGGAUGCUGGCGUAAUGGUCAUCAGUGACCCGUCUUGAAACACGGACCCAAGGAGUCGUCUUCGUAUGCGAGUGUUCGGGUGUCAAACCCCUACGCGGAAUGAAAGUGAACGUAGGAGAGAGCUUCGGCGCAUCUCCGACCGAUCCUGAUGUUCUCGGAUGGAUUUGAGUAAGAGCAUACGGGGCCGGACCCGAAAGAAGGUGAACUAUGCCUGUGUAGGGUGAAGCCAGAGGAAACUCUGGUGGAGGCUCGCAGCGGUUCUGACGUGCAAAUCGAUCGUCAAACAUGGGCAUGGGGGCGAAAGACUAAUCGAACCUU
rnacentral:rRNA from 1 species